UUCAGGUAGCGCUCCUUUACAAGAAAAAAUCUUUCUGUGGCGGGUCCAUCAUCAGUGACAGAGUAGUCCUCACAGCUGCACACUGUACGGAUGGCAUGACACCGGAAGCUCUGACGGUCAAGAUCGGCGACCAUGACCUGACACAGAACGACGUAUCGAGAGAAAGAGCUGUGUCAGUCAGGAAGAUCAUACAACACGAUGGGGCGAUUCAGGAGGCCCGCUGGUAUGGAGAGAUGACGCCACAGGCCGGUAUUUCCAAGUGGGCGUGACCAGCUGGGGCUUAGGAUGCGGUAACCCUGAAUAUCCUGGUGUUUAUGUGAAGCUGAACAAAUAUCUCGACUGGGUCUACGCCAACACAGGUGACUCCGUUUUCUGUUCGACUUACAACCCCAAACUGAAAGGGAAAAAUAAUCAGGGAAAGAGACAGAGAAAAGGGGGACAGUCGAAGAAGAACGGAAGGGGAAACUCAAUCAUUCGUUAAGAAAUAUAAGAGAGGAAGAUGCAGAAGUCUGAAGAUAAGAAGAGAAUUGAAGGAAGAGGGAAAAACAACUUGAACUCUACUUUUCAUUAUUAUUAUCUUUCUACUUCUUUCCCUUCUUCUUAUUCUUAUUCUAAUCAUCUAUUAUUAUCAUUACUUUUUCAUAGAAGUGAAACAAACUGUACUGGAGAAGUUGAUGGUGAUUGGCUGAACAUCAUAACAAUUUCAAAAAAUUAUCAUCAUCGACUUGUCAAAUAUCGAAUGAUUAUCUUUCAUGAGAUAUCAGCAUUUUGUCAACCUGUCAUCAGUCAUCACCAACAUGCCAUUAGGUUACCAUCAACCUGUCAAGUUGCCAUCAAUCAUCACCAAUCUGUCAAGUGCAGUUAUCACCUUCAUUAGAAUGUCUAAUUCACAUUAUUGCGCAUAAACAGCUGCCAGUGAAAACAUUUAUCUAAAAGAGACAAAAAAAAAUGCAUCGAUAAGAAAACAAACAAAUACGUGAGUUCUUGACUGACGUUGCUCAUUCAUUGCUAAAGACAGAACAACGAAGGAAAAAAGCAAGAAAACAAAUGGUUGUUUACUUGAUUACUUCUGCUCUUUCCAUCAAUGACUUGUUUACUAGUUGUUUAUCACGAAUUAUUAGCCUGUUUGCUGUUGUUUGUUAUCUUUUACAAUAUUUCGUUGUUAUUGCUCUGUUAAAAGCUUUAACAGAGUAAAGAUUGAUAAAGGUAUAUUGUUAUUUAAAUACUUGAUAUAGGGGUUAUUGUUAAUAAAUAGUUGAUGGAG